rnacentral:rRNA from 1 species
GUACCUACGGGGGGCAGCAGUGAGGAAUAUUGGUCAAUGGACGCAAGUCUGAACCAGCCAUGUCGCGUGAAGGAAGACGGUUCUAUGAGUUGUAAACCUCUUUUGUACGAGGGUAAACGCAGAUACGUGUAUCUGUCUGCAAGUAUCGUACGAAAAAGGAACGGCUAACUCCGGGCCAGCAGCCGCGGUAAUAAGGAGGAUUCACGCGUUAUCCGGAUUUAUUGGGUUUAAAGGGUGCGUAGGCGGUCGGGUAAGUUAGGGGUGAAAUUCCGCGGCUC